rnacentral:lncRNA from 1 species
ACGAGAAUCUCCAGCAAUCAAAUUGUAGAACUUCCAAAUUGUUGAAUACAGUUCUUCGUCUAUAUCAGUACACAAAUUCUAGAAUCUAAAUAUGUUCUUCGUCUACAUCAGUACACAAAUUGUCGAAUCUGAAUCUGUUCUUCGUCUACAUCAGUACACAAAUUGUCGUAUUGUCGAAUACAGUUGUUCGUCGUCAUCAGUACAAAAAUUGACGAAUCUAAAUCUGUUCUUCGUCUGUUUUUCUAUC